GAUGAGCGCUAGCUACAGGCUUAACACAUGCAAGUCGCGGGGCAUCAUGGAGGUUGCUUGCAAUUUCUGAUGGCGACCGGCGCACAGGUGAGUAACGCGUAUCCAACCUUCCCAUUACUACGGCAUACCCCGUUGAAAGGCAGCCUAAUUCCGUAUGCAGUCCGAAGCAGUCAUCUAAUUUGGACGAAAGGUAUAUUCUAUCGGUAAUGGAUGGGGAUGCGUCCGAUUAGCCAGCCGGCGGGGUAACGGCCCACCGGGGCAUUGAUCGGUAGGGGUUCUGAGAGGAAGGUCCCCCACACUGGAACUGAGACACGGUCCAGACUCCUACGGGAGGCAGCAGUGAGGAAUAUUGGUCAAUGGGCGUAAGCCUGAACCAGCCAAGUAGCGUGCAGGAUGACGGCCCUAUGGGUUGUAAACUGCUUUUAUGCGGGGAUAAAGUUGGGGAACGUGUC
rnacentral:rRNA from 1 species